rnacentral:rRNA from 1 species
GAUGAACGCUGGCGGCGUGCCUAAUACAUGCAAGUCGAGCGAACAGACGAGGAGCUUGCUCCUCUGACGUUAGCGGCGGACGGGUGAGUAACACGUGGAUAACCUACCUAUAAGACUGGGAUAACUUCGGGAAACCGGAGCUAAUACCGGAUAAUAUAUUGAACCGCAUGGUUCAAUAGUGAAAGACGGUUUUGCUGUCACUUAUAGAUGGAUCCGCGCCGCAUUAGCUAGUUGGUAAGGUAACGGCUUACCAAGGCAACGAUGCGUAGCCGACCUGAGAGGGUGAUCGGCAACACUGGAACUGAGACACGGUCCAGACUCCUACGGGAGGCAGCAGAAGGGAAUCUUCCGAAAUGGGCGAAAGCCUGACGGAGCAACGCCGCGUGAGUGAUGAAGGUCUUCGGAUCGUAAAACUCUGUUAUUAGGGAAGAACAAAUGUGUAAGUAACUAUGCACGUCUUAACGGUACCUAAUCAGAAAGCCACGGCUAACUACGUG